GAGUUGCUUAGUUUGCAGAUGGGCGUGCUUUUCCUCCCUGGCUCCUGCACAGUGUCUCCACACUCCUGCACCUCGUUCCAAAUCAACCGCAGGUCCAGCACGCCAGUAUUCGCCAGAACAUCUCGUGUCUUCCGUGAACCACCCGAACCUGCCUGCCAGCUCACCUGCUGCACCCUCGCAGCUUUGGUCCAACCACUUCGCUUCGCUUUCCCUUUCUGGACCUGGAUCGACUCCCUCGCCCCCUGGGUCCAGCUUUUAUGUACACCUAGCUGUUUAAGCAGGGAGCUGUUCUCAGGACUCUACUCUUCCUCCUCCUUCCCUUUUCUCAUUUCUCCCUUCUGAAGAAGAUGGGCUCAGGUUAGGAAUUCAAUUAUUUAUUAAAUUUAAGCUUGAUGUAGUACACUUAAGUAGCACACAAAGAACCUUUUUUAAAGGGAUAGUUCAGGAUUUAAAGUGGAGCUGUGUGAGGUAAUUAUCCACGGUCAGUGAGAGUGAUUACCCAGGAGCCCUCAAAAAGCCUGAAAUUAAGUUUGUUUUUGUUUGCCAUGUUUUAUUUCUAAGCAAGUAGUCUCAAGUAGAGCCAUGUCUUUAGAGUGUAGCAAAGCUUAACAUCAGGAAGCAGAUGGAACAGAACAUAUCCUUCAGUUACUGAGGGUAUGUGCUCACACAGUGGCAAAUAAAUAUUUUAGUAAGCAAUCAUUUGAAGCUGAGAGGAGCUCAGCAGCAAUUACAGCCUGUUUUAUUGUAGGCUAAUAUCAAUCCUGCAUGUUUCAAAUUGUUAUUACUUGUUUAAAUGUGGUAUGAACAGUUAAUUAGUGACUAAUCUCCACUACAGAUUCAUGUGUGCAGUUGUUUUCUCAAUUAUUUGUAAACAGUUUUCAAAAGAUACGUAAGAGACAUGGGCCCAGAAUUGUAUGCUACGCUCCUGACUGCCGGUAAUACACUGAUUAUACCUCAUGCUGUCCCACUUAAAAAAAAAAAAAAAAAAUCCAACUAUUAGGGUUGGGUGUCGUUUAAAAUUUUACACUACCAGUACCAAAACCAGUA